UGGGGAAUAUUGGACAAUGGGCGAAAGCCUGAUCCAGCCAUGUCGCGUGUGUGAAGAAGGUCUUCGGAUUGUAAAGCACUUUAAGUUGGGAGGAAGGGUUGUAGAUUAAUACUCUGCAAUUUUGACGUUACCGACAGAAUAAGCACCGGCUAACUCUGUGCCAGCAGCCGCGGUAAUACAGAGGGUGCAAGCGUUAAUCGGAAUUACUGGGCGUAAAGCGCGCGUAGGUGGUUAGUUAAGUUGGAUGUGAAAUCCCCGGGCUCAACCUGGGAACUGCAUUCAAAACUGACUGACUAGAGUAUGGUAGAGGGUGGUGGAAUUUCCUGUGUAGCGGUGAAAUGCGUAGAUAUAGGAAGGAACACCAGUGGCGAAGGCGACCACCUGGACUGAUACUGACACUGAGGUGCGAAAGCGUGGGGAGCAAACA
rnacentral:rRNA from 1 species